AACAAAGAAGAAAAGCAGUAGUGCCAGAGAUACUGAAAACAAAGAAGAAAAGGAGAAGUGCAAGGCUAAAAGCAAGAGCCCAAUAGAAGACGAGAGAGGUUGAUUCAAGCAAGCUGGCCACAAUCAGCAAUCACAACGGGCUUGGAGGUCCUUCCAGAGGAAGAUCCAACCUUCUCAAUGGUCUUCCCCACAUCCACCCCCUCCACAACUCUACCAAACACCACAU
rnacentral:misc_RNA from 1 species